rnacentral:lncRNA from 1 species
GAAGCCAGAAGAGCCAGACUUUUCCGUAGACGAGGAAUAACUAGACUCCACAGUUUUUCCUUUUAUGUAUAGGCCUUUCUUUGUUGAUUCAAGCAGGGGAGAAGUUAGAAAUGAUAGUGAGGUCAUUCUUCUAUUUGUAUGAUUAUAUGAGAAGCUGAUAGGAGACAUUUACCAAUGUAGAAUACAGUAGAAUUAACUUAGAGGUUAAGAACUUGUGCAUAUAAGAAUGUUUCAAGUAUUACUUCAUUGUAGAACUUUUGAGCACAAUUUUAGGGGUUGUUUGACCAGGUUAUUCAAGUAUUACUUCAUGUUCUUUCCAUUCACUUAACCAGGUUAUUCAAGAAACUAAUCAUAUUCUGUUAUAAAUACUGCUUAAGCAUCACCCACAGUAAGUCUCCAUUCUUUUUCGUUAUUAUUACAGGAGAACUAGAGAAGCCGAAAAAAACAUGCUAAGAACAGCCGCUUAAAAGCUAUUAAUUGUAAAAUGAUAAUAAUCGUUAUUGACACUAAAUAAUGAACACAACAGUGUUCGUUUAUCAGAACGUGAAUGAUUUUCAGAAACAAAUUUUGGCCAAAAAGGAAAACAGAACUCCAGCCGAGACUAGUCGUCAUUGACUUGUAUGCAGGGUGUUACAUAUCAUAUAUUGACAAAAAUAAUAUUUCUUUAUAUAUAUAUAUAGGCAUUUGAUCAAAUACAAACCAAUCUUAAAAUAAAAACUAAAAACCACUGUUUAAACUCUUAUAAUUACUAAGGGCACUCUGCUAAAAUAAAUAAUCUAUCUACUCACAUAUUUGCAAUCAGUCAAAUCCAGCAUAGCAUAACAACCACCCCACCCACCCAUAUCUUCCCGACCAACACUCACAGUCCCCUCCCACCUCCCCUGACCGGAGCUUCCCUGCCCACAACCCCCACCCAAUCUCCCGCGCACCACCGAUAUAAUACAUCUUGACGAUCUCGCCGAAAAAUAGAGGAAGAUGAGCUUGUUGUACAUAUACACACAAAAUAUAUACAUUUAUCGAAAAGAGCGAUUCUGAGUGAUGAGUGAUGGUUGUGCACUGGUGGUGGUGGUGGUUAGGCGGCGAAAUUGGUGGCACAAGUGACAAUCUCUCUCCCUCAAUCUUGUGGACGACUAGACUCUAUCAUUAAGAUUCUGAUAUACUUGUUGAUAUACUACAAAAGUCGAUGAUUUUUGCUGUAUAAAUUAGUGAUAUGCGCUUUAGAAAUUAGUGAUUUUUGCUUUGGAAAUUAGUGAUAUGCGCUUGAGAGAUUGGUGAUAUGCGCUUCGAAAAUUAGUGAUUUGUUUAAAUAAACUGCAACACCACUCAAUAGAUCACAGAGUAAUUACUCAUAGCUCCAUGGAAACACUCUUAAUUAGCAGACUUUGAGAUCGAAGAAGCCGAUUAAUGAAAGAGAGAGAGAUGGUUUUGCUGUAAGUGUUGAUUAUUUUGUAUGUACUGUGCGUGUAUAUCGCUGGUUUUAUUAUUAGAAAACACGCUAGCAAAGUGUUUAAAAAGUGGACAUGUGACGGUCCAGGAAUCCGGGGGUCUGGAUUCUGACGUCACCACACAAAACCCUUUUUAAAACACUUGUGAAACCCUGUAUUUUUAUUAAAGAUAAUGAAAAUCCACAAGAAUUUAAAACUUGAAACAUUUAAUAAAAGAUUUGUAUGAGAACAUAAAUCAAAUGAUUUCAAAACCUGAAUUUUAAAUUUGAAAACCAUCAUAAAAGAACUUUUCAGAGAACAUUUAAACUUUAAUAGCUGAUUCGAAAGAGAACAUUUUAACCCCCAAAAACAACAGGAUCGCUUCCAGGUUACAGUAUUGAAAUUAGAAUCUACCACUAUUAUUACACAACAUCUCUUACCAAAUCAGAUCAUCUUCGAUAAGAAGAAUCACUGUCAACUAUUCCAGCUUGCACCAACCUCAUCAACUUUCCUGAACACUCCUCGACCACUGGAUCCUCAACUCUGUCUCCUCGCCUAGCAUUAGCCUUACUCACAAUCUCAAUCAAUCAUCUCAUCUUUAAGCCUUUCUGAAAUGGUUAGAAAGGAAUAGCAAGGGUGAGCAACAAUGCUCAGCAAGUAAUAAUAAACAAUGAUAGUUCUGAAAUGAUAUAACAGAAGUUCACGAGUUCAAGAUAUAAGAGGAUUCAACCUGAGUUCAUGAGUUCAUGGUAUUGUAUAGAAUGAUUUACAAUACCUUGCAGCAUUUAAACUGAGAAAUUCAAUCUUUCCAAAGAAUUAUUGAAUUGGACUAUCACAUUUUAAUUAAAACCAAGGUUAGGCAGCUGAUCAGUUCCGCACUAACCCCGAGCAGGCCCCGCCAUGCUCUAUCACUGGAUCCAAGGCACUCAUUGGCCUAACAUGACCACGAAUCUGGUCCACAGGUUUAUAUAAAAACAAUAAUCCAAUUCUCUAAUUCAAUUCAAGAAGCCAAUGUAAAUUAACAGAACAUCAUCAUAAAUAUCAUCAACAACAGAAUAAUUCCAAUUCAAACUUUGAUAAUAAUCUAUUCAUAAAUCAUGAUCCAUCAUUUCAUAAAUCACAGUUCAGGAAAUCCUCAACUAUUCAGUAUCCUCCAUUAUCGGCUAAGCAACUGAAUUUAGCCUGCUAAACCAGCAUGACAAUGGCGGGUUGAAUAAUCAAGAAGAUCCCAAUUCAUUCAAAGCUCUAACUAUCACUGAGCAACACAUGCUUCAAUGACAAUCUGAACUUCGAAUUAAUUAAUAAAACGGAAAUUCUUUAGAAACUUGAAGAAUAGGAAGAAUGGAUCCGAACAUAUGCACUUUUAAAUAUAGAAAGGAAAGGUACGAAUUCUUGCAACAGAUACCAAAGGAAUGGAUCAGAAUAUUGGUCCACAGGUUUAUAUAAAAACAAUAAUCCAAUUCUCUAAUUCAAUUCAAGAAGCCAAUGUAAAUCAACAGAACAUCCUCAUAAAUAUCAUCAACAACAGAAUAAUUCCAAUUCAAACUUUGAUAAUAAUCUAUUCAUAAAUCAUGAUUCAUCAUUUCAUAAAUCACAGUUCAGGAAAUCCUCAACUAUUCAGUAUCCUCCAUUAUCGGCUAAGCAACUGAAUUUAGCCUGCUAAACCAGCAUGACAAUGGCGGGUUGAAUAAUCAAGAAGAUCCCAAUUCAUUCAAAGCUCUAACUAUCACUGAGCAACACAUGCUUCAAUGACAAUCUGAACUUCGAAUUAAUUUGUAAAACGGAAAUUCUUUAGAAACUUGAAGAUUAGAAAGAAUGGGUCAGAAUACUCGCACUUUCGAACAUUGAAAAGAAAGGUAUGAAUACUUGAAACAUAUACCAAAGGAAUGGAUCAGAAUAUUUGCAAUAUAUCCAAGAGAAAGGUUUAGGAUACUUGCAACACAUAUAAAAAGAAUGGAUCAGAAUAUGCAAUAUAUCCAAAAGCAGGGUGCAGGAUACUUGCCUUAAAUCUGACUCCAGUCUCACAUCUCAAUCUCAUCUUUCCACUUUCACAAUCUAUGCAUCUCAUAGUCUCUAGACCAUCUCUGGCUAUACUCUAUCUACCGUACAUCUUCGCUUCGCUUACUCGAUUCAUCCCUUAUUCACUUUGCAAUACCAUUCCGACUUCCUGACGUCUUCGAGCGUACACGUCUCGUUCAAAUCCUAUACGAGAAUAAGAUAAUACUAUAGUCACUAAACAAUAUAUCGCAUAUACAUAUCACGUAUAUCGAUACCCACUUAUAUAUCCCUUUAAACCUAUCACAUAUCACUUGACACAUAAUCAUGCUUUGACUCUAAUAUAUAGCCAAGUCAUAUUCCACAUAACAUGUUACAAAUCAAUUAUCAUAUGAAUCCUAUCGAAAAUCCGACAUCAUCUCGUCUAUUUAUUAGACUAUCCACCUGUUAUCUAAUCUCAAUCAACAAUCAACCAACCAAAUCCAAUCAUUAUAAUCCAUAUCUUCUUAUCCAAUAUCAAUCAACUCACGACACUAUGUCAUCCAAUUCUUUUAUCACACAUGUAUACUAUCAUGAAUAAACAUGUAUAUCACGUAAUCAUCAAUUAAUAGCAAUCAAUUAACAUAUAAUCACAUUGUGCACAUUUAACAACAAUUAUUCACAUUCUCGACUCCAUCAUAUUAUUAUGUUAUAUCAAACUAGACUUUAUAAGCUUCUGUCUCUCUUUCGUUUCACUUGAUUCCGACUUACGGAUCAAAAGUUAUGCUCAAAACAGUUUUCUCACUCUCCUAUCGGCACAUAACACAUCCAACCAAUAGCAGACAACACAUUACACAUAAGGUUUCCCAUCCCGAUUGAUAUCAAAUCAACUCUUGGGUUAAAAAUGAUUUUUCGGGAAUUUUCUGGAAUUUUUAAACAUUUUUUCGGAAUUAAAACGGAUAAAAGAAUCAUUUUUCAAAUAAAUAAUCAAGUCCGGAUGCUCAAAACUGGACUUGAAAUUAUUCAUAAACAAUUGUCGAGCCUUGAACAUAAUUUAGAAAAAUAUUUCAAAGCUCGAAACUAUUUUUCGGAAUUUUUAAAUCAAAAAGGAUUAAUUAAAUCCAAUUAAUUAAUCAAUUAAAAUCAAUUAAUAAUUAAUUAAAAUAAUUAAUCAAUUAAUAUUUAAAUUAAUUGACUAAUUAAAAUAAUUAAUUACUAAUUAAAAU